GAAAAGUAGUAUAGUUGUGGUAUUGAGCUCACCUUGAAUACUUUUUUAACAAUCAAGAACCUAGAUAGGGAAGAGGCUUUACAUCUGCCUAAAAUAUAGGAUACUUAUUUUUCAGUUUUACUUAGUUAAUUUUUUGGCUCAACAUUUUCCAAUCUGUUAUUAAUUGGAUUUUCUCUCAAAAGUCCAUGAAAUAGAUUGUCGUUUGGUCAAAGCAAAAUCCAAACAUAUGCAUUAUGUUGAGCAAAAAAUUGAGUCAAGGCAAAACCCUCUUCCAUGGUUCUUUAUUUGUCGAAAAGUUUCUAGGAUACCACACUUAGAAUGCUUUUCCUCCACUAGAACACCAUUAAUCAGAGAUUCCGGGCUUAUAUUAGAAGAGCUCGAAUCAGUAGUUUGGACUAUGACAACUUGACCUUAUCUACCAUCUUUUUCAUUGUUUUGCCCGCUUAUGAUUGAAAAUUCCGACCAUUGGAGGCUUCAUUUCGAUCCAACGUUCAAUUUGUCUCCCUCUGCGAUUUCUUCUUCUUCUCUGUGAUAUCCCAAAGUCAGUCCUACUACAUUAUUCUCCCGUUUGUUGCUUACUCUGUUUUAUCACAUUUCAUCUUAUCUGGAAUGGGGAAACGCAAAUCCCCCGACAAGGCCGCCGGCCGCGAGAAAGAAUGGGAUAGUGUUUUCAACGCUUUAGUGACGUUAUCCCAGAAUCUGCAGAAAGAUAGGCGGUUUCUUGAAGAAAGACGAAAAUAUUUGCACCAAGUUAUUUAUAAGAUGAAAAUGUAGCAGAAAGUUGAGUCUGCAAAAGCGGAACUUAUGUUGGGUUUGAAGGACAGGGAGGCUUUCACUUACAAGCAUAGAUCUGAAAAGGCAAGAAUACUGUUACUCGUGGAAGGGGUGAAACAUCGAAAAAAGAAUCAGAUCCUUUGCAGACCUCUGAGAAGAUGGCUCAUAGAAAGCGAAGUGCUCGUAAGUCAACUGAAGGAAAGGCCCCUAGGCAGCAAUUCAAUCGAAAGAUGGCUCAUAGAAAGCGAAGUGCUCGUAAUUCAAGUGAAGUAAAGGCCCCUAGGCAGCAAUUCAAUCU